AACGAACGCUGGCGGCAUGCCUAACACAUGCAAGUCGAACGAGACCUUCGGGUCUAGUGGCGCACGGGUGCGUAACGCGUGGGAACCUGCCCUUAGGUUCGGAAUAACUCCCCGAAAGGGGUGCUAAUACCGUAUAAUGUCUUCGGACCAAAGAUUUAUCGCCUUUGGAUGGGCCCGCGUUGGAUUAGCUAGUUGGUAGGGUAAAAGCCUACCAAGGCGACGAUCCAUAGCUGGUCUGAGAGGAUGAUCAGCCACACUGGGACUGAGACACGGCCCAGACUCCUACGGGAGGCAGCAGUGGGGAAUAUUGGACAAUGGGCGAAAGCCUGAUCCAGCAAUGCCGCGUGAGUGAUGAAGGCCUUAGGGUUGUAAAGCUCUUUUACCCGGGAUGAUAAUGACAGUACCGGGAGAAUAAGCGCCGGCUAACUCCGUG
rnacentral:rRNA from 1 species